GAUGAACGCUGGCGGCGUGCCUAAUACAUGCAAGUCGAGCGAACAGAUGAGGAGCUUGCUCCUCUGACGUUAGCGGCGGACGGGUGAGUAACACGUGGAUAACCUACCUAUAAGACUGGGAUAACUUCGGGAAACCGGAGCUAAUACCGGAUAAUAUAUUGAACCGCAUGGUUCAAUAGUGAAAGACGGUUUUGCUGUCACUUAUAGAUGGAUCCGCGCCGCAUUAGCUAGUUGGUAAGGUAACGGCUUACCAAGGCAACGAUGCGUAGCCGACCUGAGAGGGUGAUCGGCCACACUGGAACUGAGACACGGUCCAGACUCCUACGGGAGGCAGCAGUAGGGAAUCUUCCGCAAUGGGCGAAAGCCUGACGUAGCAACGCCGCGUGAGUGAUGAAGGUCUUCGGAUCGUAAAACUCUGUUAUUAGGGAAGAACAAAUGUGUAAGUAACUAUGCACGUCUUGACGGUACCUAAUCAGAAAGCCACGGCUAACUACGUG
rnacentral:rRNA from 1 species